GGCAGAAUCCGAGACCAGGGGGAAGAGUCGGUGGAAGAAGAUUGGAAGAAAUUUAAAGACUAUUUACAGAAAUAUUGUAAAAUUAAUGAAUGAUAGAAUGAUGUUGGAUAGUAAUUAAGUGGUUUCUAGCUGUAAUGCUUUAAGAGAAUAUGAAAAAAAGGGUGAUAAAUGGGUUAAAAUCUAAUGGCAAGGAUUUGCUGAACCAAUAAAUUGAAGUGGAAUACAAAAAAGGGAGGUACGAGGAGGUCCGGGAAAUAAGCUAAAG